rnacentral:rRNA from 1 species
GAUGAACGCUGGCGGCGUGCUUAACACAUGCAAGUCGAACGAUGAAGCCCAGCUUGCUGGGUGGAUUAGUGGCGAACGGGUGAGUAACACGUGAGUAACCUGCCCUUGACUCUGGGAUAAGCCUGGGAAACUGGGUCUAAUACUGGAUAUGACUUCUCAUCGCAUGGUGGGGGGUGGAAAGAUUUAUUGGUCUUGGAUGGACUCGCGGCCUAUCAGCUUGUUGGUGAGGUAAUGGCUCACCAAGGCGACGACGGGUAGCCGGCCUGAGAGGGUGACCGGCCACACUGGGACUGAGACACGGCCCAGACUCCUACGGGAGGCAGCAGUGGAGAAUAUUGCACAAUGGGCGCAAGCCUGAUGCAGCGACGCCGCGUGAGGGAUGACGGCCUUCGGGUUGUAAACCUCUUUCAGUAGGGAAGAAGCGAGAGUGACGGUACCUGCAGAAGAAGCGCCGGCUAACUACGUG